GACGAACGCUGGCGGCGUGCCUAAUACAUGCAAGUCGAACGCAGUGGGGACGGGUGAGUAACACGUGGGUAACCUCCCAUCAGAUGGGAUAACACUUGGAAACAGGUGCUAAACCGAUACUGAUGGAUGAACCCGCGGUUCAUUAGCUAGUUGGUUAGGUAACGGCUCACCAAGGCCACGAUGCAUAGCGGACCUGAGAGGGUGAUCGGCCACACUGGGACUGAGACACGGCCCAGACUCCUACGGGAGGCAGCAGGAGGGAAUCUUGGGCAAUGGACGAAAGUCUGAUCGAGCAACGCCGCGUGAGUGAAGAAGGUUUUCGGAUCGUAAAGCUCUGUUGUUAGAGAAGCGGUAUCUACACAGAAAGCAACGGCUAACUCCGUGCCAGCAGCCGCGGUAAUUC
rnacentral:rRNA from 1 species